rnacentral:rRNA from 1 species
AGUGAACGUUGGCGGUAGGCCUAACACAUGCAAGUCGAACGGCAGCACAGUAAGAUCUUGCUCUUACGGGUGGCGAGUGGCGGACGGGUGAGGAAUACAUCGGAAUCUACUUUUUCGUGGGGGAUAACGUAGGGAAACUUACGCUAAUACCGCAUACGACCUACGGGUGAAAGCAGGGGAUCUUCGGACCUUUCGCGAUUGAAUGAGCCGAUGUCGGAUUUGCUAGUUGGCGGGUGAAAGGCCAACCAAGGCGACGAUCCGUAGCUGGUCUGAGAGGAUGGUCGGCAACACGGGAACUGAGACAGGCUCAAGACUCCUACGGGAGGCAGCAGUGGGGAAUAUUGGACAAUGGGGGCAAGCCUGAUCCAGCAAUACCGCGUGGGUGAAGAAGGCCUUCGGGUUGUAAAGCCCUUUUGUUGGGAAAGAAAAGCAGCAGGUUAAUACGCCGCUGUUCUGACGGUACCCAAAGAAUAAGCACCGGCUAACUUCGUG